rnacentral:rRNA from 1 species
UUUCUAUGGAAGCUUGCUUACACUAGAGAAGAUAGUGGCGAACGGGUGAGUAACACGUGGGUAACCUGCCCAUAAGAGGGGGAGUAACAUCCGGAAACGGUGCUAAUACCGCAUAGUUUUCUUGAUCGCAUGAUCGGGAAAGGAAGACGGCCUUUGUGCUGUCGCUUAUGGAUGGACCCGCGGCGUAUUAGUUAGUUGGUGAGGUAACGGCUCACCAAGACGAUGAUACGUAGCCGACCUGAGAGGGUGAUCGGCCACAUUGGGACUGAGACACGGCCCAAACUCCUACGGGAGGCAGCAGUAGGGAAUCUUCCGCAAUGGACGAAAGUCUGACGGAGCAACGCCGCGUGAGUGAAAGAAGGUUUUCGGAUCGUAAAACUCUGUUGUCAGAGAAGAACAAGUUGGAGAGUAACUGCUCCAGCCUUGACGGUAUCUGACCGGAAAGCCACGGCUAACUACGUGCCAGCCGCGGC